rnacentral:rRNA from 1 species
GCCUCAGUAACGGCGAGUGAAGCGGCAACAGCUCAAAUUUGAAAUCUGGCCCUUUCAGGGUCCGAGUUGUAAUUUGCAGAGGGUGCUUUGGUGUCGGCCGUGGUCUAAGUUCCUUGGAACAGGACGUCACAGAGGGUGAGAAUCCCGUACGUGGCCGCCGGUCUUCACCGUGUAAAGCCCCUUCGACGAGUCGAGUUGUUUGGGAAUGCAGCUCUAAAUGGGAGAUACAUUUCUUCUAAAGCUAAAUAUUGGCCAGAGACCGAUAGCGCACAAGUAGAGUGAUCGAAAGAUGAAAAGCACUUUGGAAAGAGAGUCAAAAAGCACGUGAAAUUGUUGAAAGGGAAGCGCUUGCAGCCAGACGUGCCCGCAGUUGCUCACCUGGGCUCUCGCCCGGGGCAUUCUUCUGCGGGCAGGCCAGCAUCAGUUCGGGCGGUUGGAUAAAGGCCUCUAUCACGUAUCUUCCUUCGGGAUGACCUUAUAGGGGAGGCGCAACACGACCAGCCUGAACUGAGGACCGCGCAUCAGCUAGGAUGCUGGCGUAAUGGCUGUAAGCGGCCCGUCUUGAAACACGGACCAAGGAGUCUAACAUCUAUGCGAGUGUUUGGGUGUAAAGCCCGGGCGCGCAAUGAAAGUGAACGGAGGUGGGAACCCCCUCGGGGUGCACCAUCGACCGAUCCUGAAGUCUUCGGAUGGAUUUGAGUAAGAGCAUAGCUGUUGGG